UAACUGCUAAUGAUACAAUUAAAUAUUAAACCUGAGUGAUGUUUUUUUGUUUGCUUAUGCUAUUUUACGUUCAAUUCCUAAUAAGUUAGGGGGUGUAGUUAGUUCGGGUAUAUCUAUUGUUGUGUUUUUUGUUUGUCCUCUUUUACAUAUUAGAGGGUGUAUAGGGUUAAGUUAUAAUUUUCUAGGACAAUUUUGUUUUUGAUUUUUAGUUGGUGUAUUUUUUAUUUUAACUUGAGUUGUCAUGUAGUGUAUCCAUAUGAAAUACUUGGUCGAAUUUUUAGAGUUAUAUAUUUUGCUUGUUUUUUAGUUCGACCUAUUUUAGAUAUGGUAUGAAUAUAUAUAUAUUAGAUUAUUA